UCCACAAAUCUGUUUCAGUUCGGAUCGCAGUUGCAACUCGACUGCGUGAAGCUGGAAUCGCUAGUAAUCGUGGAUCAGCAUGCCGCGGUGAAUACGUUCCCGGGCCUUGUACACACCGCCCGUCACACCACGAGAGUUUGUAACACCCGAAGUCGGUGAGGUAACCUUUUUGGAGCCAGCCGCCGAAGGUGGGACAGAUGAUUGGGGUGAAGUCGU
rnacentral:rRNA from 1 species